UGGGGGUCGUGUGAUGUAAUCUUUGAAAGUUUAUGACCGAACCUUUAUUGGGGAGCGACAAGAGAUCUCCGGCAUCAGUUUGGAUGGAGCAGAGCUGUUAUACUCAAGUCUAUUGCGAAAUUGUCUAAACUGGUAUUAACUAUUCCUGGUAAAUCGCGGAGAAGAGUGGCUUGAACAAAAAAGUCAGACCGUGACUAGAACCACCAGCAGCGUAACAAGGAAAUCUCGGAGCAAAGAGACGCAGAGUGGUGCGUGUUGUCCGGUUUGGAUAUCAGCGGCAAAGCGAACGUUGUGUGUACUAUUGCAAAAUAUAUAUAGCGGAUCUCCACGGUUAGGAUACAGAACACAACGCUUUGGACGUAUCUUUAAAAAAGAGAAAAAUCAGAGACUUUUUGGAUUUGUCUGGGACAUUUUAAACAUUUUGUGGCAAAUUGGAUUUAAAACAUUUCGGAUACUGGAUACCCGUGUUUGAUUUGUCCACAGAGCUGGUCGCUUUUUAAAAUCACAAGGGUAAGUGGCUAAAUACAUUUUUUUUU